rnacentral:rRNA from 1 species
UACAGAGGGUGCGAGCGUUAAUCGGAAUUACUGGGCGUAAAGCGCACGUAGGCGGCUUGGUAUGUCGGGUGUGAAAUCCCUGAGCUCAACUCAGGAACUGCACUCGAAACUACUUUUCUUGAGUGCCGGAGAGGAAAGCGGAAUACCUGGUGUAGAGGUGAAAUUCGUAGAUAUCAGGUGGAACACCAGUGGCGAAGGCGGCUUUCUGGACGGUAACUGACGCUGAGACGCGAAAGCGUGGGGAGCAAACAGG